rnacentral:rRNA from 1 species
GAUGAACGCUGGCGGCGUGCCUAAUACAUGCAAGUCGAGCGAACAGACCAUUAGCUGGCUCCUCUGACGGUAGCGGCGGACGUGUGACUAACACGUCGUUAACCUACCUAUAAGACUAGGAUAACUUCGUGAAGCCAAAGCUAAUACCGGAUACUAUAUUCAACCGCAUGGUUCAAUAGUUAAAGAGGGUGUUGAUGUCACUGAUACAUGUAUGCUCGCGGAUUUAGCUAUGUGGUAAGGUAACGGCUUACCAAAGCAACGCUGCGUAGCCGACCUGAGAGGGUGAUGGCCCACACUGGAACUGAGACACGGUCCAGAGUCUUACGGGCGGCAGAAGUAGGGAAUCGUGCGAACUGGGCGAAAGAUUGAAGGAGCAACGCAGCGUGAGUGCUGAAGGUCUUCGGAUCGUAAAACUCUGUUAGUGGGGAAGACCAAAUGUGUAAGUAACUAAGCACGUCUUGACGGUACCUACUCAGAAAGCAACGGCUAACUACGUG